rnacentral:rRNA from 1 species
UACGCAGACUGCGACCGUCAAUAGGAAUUACUGGGCGUAAAGCGUGCGCAGGCGGUUCUAUAAGACAGAUGUGAAAUCCCCGGGCUCAACCUGGGAAUGGCAUUUGUGACUGUAGAGCUAGAGUACGGUAGAGGGGGAUGGAAUUCCGCGUGUAGCAGUGAAAUGCGUAGAUAUGCGGAGGAACACCGAUGGCGAAGGCAAUCCCCUGGACCUGUACUGACGCUCAUGCACGAAAGCGUGGGGGGCAAACAGGGUUAGAUAGCCGUGUAGUCC